rnacentral:rRNA from 1 species
GCUGGCGGUAUGCCUAACACAUGCAAGUCGAACGAGGGUAGCAAUACUCUAGUGGCGGACGGGUGAGGAAUACGUAGGAAUUUGCCCUUAAGUGGGGGAUAACCCGGGGAAGCCCGGAUUAAUACCGCAUGAUCUUUUCGAAGCAAAGCCGGGGACCGCAAGGCCUGGCGCUUUUGGAGAAGCCUACGUCGGAUUAGCUAGUUGGUGAGGUAAUGGCUCACCAAGGCUGCGAUCCGUAACUGGUCUGAGAGGAUGAUCAGUCACAUCGGAACUGAGACACGGUCCGAACUCCUACGGGAGGCAGCAGUGGGGAAUAUUGGACAAUGGGCGAAAGCCUGAUCCAGCAAUACCGCGUGUGUGAAGAAGGCCUUCGGGUUGUAAAGCACUUUAGGUCGGAAAGAAAAAACUUGAGUUAAUACCUUAAGUCUUGACGGUACCGACAGAAUAAGCACCGGCUAACUCUGUGCCAGCAGCCGCGGUAAUACAGAGGGUGCAAGCGUUAAUCGGAUUUACUGGGCGUAAAGCGUGCGUAGGUGGCUGUUUAAGUCGGAUGUGAAAGCCCUGGGCUUAACCUGGGAACUGCAUUCGAUACUGGAUAGCUAGAGAUCGGUAGAGGGCAGCGGAAUUCCAGGUGUAGCGGUGAAAUGCGUAGAUAUCCGGAGGAACACCGAUGGCGAAGGCAACUGCCUGGGCCUGAUCUGACACUGAGGCACGAAAGCGUGGGUAGCAA